GAUGAAGAACGUAGCGAAAUGCGAUAAGUAAUGUGAAUUGCAGAAUUCAGUGAAUCAUCGAAUCUUUGAACGCACAUUGCGCCCGCCAGUAUUCUGGCGGGCAUGCCUGUUCGAGCGUCAUUUCAACCAUCAAGCCCUGCUUGUGUUGGGGUCCUGCGGCUGCCCGCAGGCCCUGAAAACCAGUGGCGGGCUCGCUAGUCACACCGAGCGCAGUAGCACAUCUCGCUCAGGGCGUGCGGCGGGCUCCAGCCGUUAAAGCACCCACCUUUCGCAAGGUUGACCUCGGAUCAGGUAGGAAUACCCGCUGAACUUAAGCAUAUCAAUAAGCGGAGGA
rnacentral:misc_RNA from 1 species